GGGGAUUUAGCUCAGUGGUAGAGCACUUGCCUAGCAAGCACCAGGCCCUGGGUUCGGUCCCCAGCUCUG
rnacentral:tRNA from 1 species